rnacentral:rRNA from 1 species
UUGGACAAUGGGGGAAACCCUGAUCCAGCAAUGCCGCGUGUGUGAAGAAGGCCUUCGGGUUGUAAAGCACUUUUGUCCGGAAAGAAAUCCUUUGGGCUAAUACCCCGGGGGGAUGACGGUACCGGAAGAAUAAGCACCGGCUAACUACGUGCCAGCAGCCGCGGUAAUACGUAGGGUGCGAGCGUUAAUCGGAAUUACUGGGCGUAAAGCGUGCGCAGGCGGUUCGCUAAGACCGAUGUGAAAUCCCCGGGCUUAACCUGGGAACUGCAUUGGUGACUGGCGGGCUAGAGUAUGGCAGAGGGGGGUAGAAUUCCACGUGUAGCAGUGAAAUGCGUAGAGAUGUGGAGGAAUACCGAUGGCGAAGGCAGCCCCCUGGGCCAAUACUGACGCUCAUGCACGAAAGCGUGGGGAGCAAACAGGAUUAGAUACCCUGGUAGUCCACGCCCUAAACGAUGUCAACUAGUUGUUGGGGAUUCAUUUCCUUAGUAACGUAGCUA